GUGCUUGUAGCUCAGCAGGAUAGAGCGUCCGCCUCCUAAGCGGAAGGUCGUGGGUUCGAAUCCCGUCAAGCACG
rnacentral:tRNA from 1 species